GAUGAACGCUGGCGGCGUGCUUAACACAUGCAAGUCGAACGGAAAGGCUCCUGCUUGCCGGGGUCCUCGAGUGGCGAACGGGUGAGUAACACGUGGGUGAUCUGCCCUGCACUUCGGGAUAAGCCUGGGAAACUGGGUCUAAUACCGGAUAGGACCACAUUUUGGAUGGUGUGGUGGAAAGUUUUUCGGUGUGGGAUGAGCUCGCGGCCUAUCAGCUUGUUGGUGGGGUAAUGGCCUACCAAGGCGUCGACGGGUAGCCGGCCUGAGAGGGUGUACGGCCACAUUGGGACUGAGAUACGGCCCAGACUCCUACGGGAGGCAGCGGUGGGGAAUAUUGCACAAUGGGCGCAAGCCUGAUGCAGCGACGCCGCGUGGGGGAUGACGGCCUUCGGGUUGUAAACUACUUUCGCUAGGGACGAAGCGCAAGUGACGGUACCUGGAGAAGAAGCACCGGCUAACUACGUG
rnacentral:rRNA from 1 species